ACCGAACCCACAUCCGUUGAAAAGGGUGGGGAUGAGGUGUGGAUAGGGGAGAAAUUCCAAUCGAACCCGGAGAUAGCUGGUUCUCCUCGAAAUAGCUUUAGGGCUAGCCUCAUACAAGUCUUGCGGAGGUAGAGCACUGAAUUUCCUAGGGGGCGUCAAAGCUUACCGAAGAAUAUCAAACUCCGAAUGCCGCGUAGAUGGUGUAUGGGAGUCAGACUACACGAGAUAAGUUGGGUGGUCGAAAGGGAAAGAGCCCAGACCCGCGGCUAAGGCCCCAAAAUGUGUGUUAAGUGGAAAAGGAUGUGGGAUUUCGAAGACAACUAGGAUGUUGGCUUAGAAGCAGCCAUACAUUCAAAGAGUGCGUAAUAGCUCACUAGUCGAGAGGUCCCGCGCCGAAAAUGUCCGGGGCUGAAACACACUGCCGAAGCUCGGGAAUGUACGAAGUACAUUGGUAGAGGAGCAUUGUUAACUGGACGAAGCGUCACCGGUAAGGAGGCGUGGACGGUUAAGAAGAGAGAAUGCCGGAAUGAGUAGCGAGAGGAAGGUGAGAAUCCUUCCGGCCGAAUAUCCAAGGUUUCCAGAGUAAAGCUGAUCUGCUCUGGGUAAGUCGGGGCCUAAGGUGAGGCCGAGAGGCGUAGUCGAUGGACAACAGGUGGAGAUUCCUGUACCACAACAUAACAGAACUGUGGGGACACGUGUGGAGAGCAUGAGCCGGGAAUGGGAAGACCGGUGCAAGCGAGGUAGGAGACGAGUUGGCAAAUCCGCUCGUCAAUCCGAAGACGUGACGCGGACCGAAUUAAGAGUAGGGAAGCAUGUGAGCCACGCGUCAAGAAAAGCCGCUAUUGUUUAUGUUGUGCCCGUACCGUAAACCGACACAGGUGGAUGAGGAGAGAAUCCUAAGGCCGACGGGAGAAGCAUUGUUAAGGAACUCGGCAAAAUGACUCCGUAACUUCGGGAGAAGGAGUGCCUGGGAGACCAGGCCGCAGAGAAUUGGCCCAAGCAACUGUUUAGCAAAAACACAGGUCUAUGCAAAACCGAAAGGUGAGGUAUAUGGGCUGACGCCUGCCCGGUGCUGGAAGGUUAAGGGGAGAGGUUAGCGGUAACGCGAAGCUUUGAACUUAAGCCCCAGUAAACGGCGGCCGUAACUAUAACGGUCCUAAGGUAGCGAAAUUCCUUGUCGGGUAAGUUCCGACCCGCACGAAAGGCGUAAUGAUUUGGGCACUGUCUCAACAAUGCACCCGGUGAAAUUGAAGUACCAGUGAAGAUGCUGGUUACCUGCGCCAGGACGGAAAGACCCCAUGGAGCUUUACUCCAGCUUGAUACUGGGA
rnacentral:rRNA from 1 species